GAAUCUUACAAGUGACUAUUCUUAUAAGAGAUGAAAAGAUAUGAACUCUGCCCUCAAUUCACAGAGAUCUGAUAAAUGGCUAUGAUUAUUUUCAUUAGAAAGAUGACUCACCUUUAUUAUAGACUGCUUUCCAAUCAGAGAAUAUCUAAGCAGUGGGAUAUUCCAGUAUCUACUAUUUAAACAUUCUCUGGUAAUGAAUUAGAAUAGCCUUACUGUAGCAUCUUUAACCUGAUUGCUUCCCUUAGUGAGAUUGACAUUCAAGUGAAGGAUGAAAUUCAAUAGGCUGAGCCCAUACCUCUCCUGAAAAAUCUGAUAAUGUGGGAUCCAAAACUGAACUUGGAUCCUUCAGGUAGAAAGCCAAUGCUAUGUAACCAUAUGGACAACCACAGCAAGCAACCAACACCAGUGGUAGUGAAGUUGGCAAUAAAAAUAACAGCUGAAUUCAAUAGGCCAGGCUGGACCCUACUGAUAAAAUCUAGAGAUAUGGGAUUCAGAAUUAAUCCCCAGAUUUUCCUGGAGAUAAGUGAACCAUUUUGAUAUGUAGACAUUCAGCUGCUGUUAUUACAAAAUCUUUAGUGGG
rnacentral:lncRNA from 1 species